GUAUGUUUAUUGUGCUCAUCAUGUAUUUAUAGCCAUUUUAAUGCAGUUGUAGUUUCACAGAAUAAUGCACACUGAAUAUUUUCUGAUUAGGAAUGAUAUCUUCAAGAGGAAAAGGUUAAAUACAACAGAAAUAUAAUUAGCUACAGGACUGUAAAUUAAAAAAGGCAGCCAUCCCCUACUUCUUGAUGCUAAGAAGGCACAUUUUUUGGUGUUUCUGCUGACUGAAGCUGGUUCUCACCUCAGUUGGUUUGACUCAAGGGAACCACCAUGGACCUCCUCUCUUAUCCAGCGUGUCUGUUCUGUUACAGGCGCCCACAAAAGACGAGAAGAAGGAGAGAGAGUAGGCUCCAACAUCGUUGCUAUGUUUGAGCAAAACCAGAUCCAGGAGUUCAAAGAGGUUAGAGGACAGAUGCUGUGUGUGCAGUACAUGUAGGACUCAAUCUCUAAGCUCUGUCCCUCCUGCUAUGUGGAGCUGCACUGCCUCCUCUGGUAACCUGUGUAACUGUCCUCUGCUGGCAGAGAUGGUAUCAUUGAUAAGAGCGACAUAAGGGACACCUUUGCUGCUCUGGACGUUAAGAAGUUUGAUGGGUUUGAUGGCAGGUCGUCUUAAUGAUCUCGACGAGAUGACGAAGGAGUGUUCAGGAUCCCUCAACUUCACUUUAUUCCUAAAUAUGUUUGGAGAAAAACUCAAAGGAAACUGACCCAGAGGAGACGAGUCUCAACGCCUUUAAAGGUCUUUGACCCAGAAGGAACAGGAGUCCUCAUGGAGGAGGACUGAGCGUGUGAUUCUCUCCUCAGUUCUGCACAGACACGGCUGAAAUGACUCUGUGGCUUGUGAUGCCUCUCACAGGAAUUCAUCCCUCAGAUAACUAUGAAUUAGCUUGUAGAGCACAAAAAAACGUGAAUAAUUAACAAAGUCCCAGCAUGCAGAUAAUGCAUAUCUUGUUCGGUGAAAUACAGAUCACAGGUAAUUCAAAGUCAAAGAGACAGUAAUUCUUCUCUCUCAUUCCUCUCCUGCAGGAUAAAAUAUCAGCUCAUGUCACAGGCUGACAAGUUUACAGAGGAUGAGGUAAACCAGAUGUUUACAAACUUCCCUCUUGAUGUCACUGGUAACCUUGACUACAAGAACUUGUGUUGUGUGAUCACCCACGGAGAGGACAAAGAGCAGGCGUAAAAAGGAGGAGAAGAAACAGAUGGAUGAAAAGAAGAGAUAUAAGGAGGAGCAGCAGCGGCGAAGCUACUGCCUGUAAAUAGUCUCGCCACGCUGUGAAUUUGUGUACAGCGUGUGUAAAUGCAAUUAUGUGCAAUAAAGUGGUGACUCCAUGAAAUGAA